AGACUCUGGUUCUUUACAACCUUUUAUUUUGAUUGAGCUUACGAAUCAAUUACUCUGCCACUGAUUGCGCACUACAACAAAGGGAAAGGGUUCCCUUUAUAUCUUUUGUGGCUCGUGGCAAAGGAACAACACUCUCUUACGUGCCUUUGCUUCUUUCUUUCUUUUCAUCUAGCGAAUUCAUAGAUAUUCAAUCUGCAGUGACCCUUUCUCUCUAUCUCUUUUUCUCGCAUUACUACCUUCUCCUCCUUACCAUUUUCACAUACCUUUUUAUUGCUCCCAUUUCUUUCUCUCUCUCUACAUCCUUUCUUGCUGAUAAAGCAACUCUUUCUUCUUCAGUUCCAUUCCAUUCCUCACAAGAGUCUCUGCAUUCUUGAUUUCACAAGAACAUACCCUCUCUGCAAGAACCCAUUUUUCACUUUUUCAGCUUCGUAUAUUCGGAUUCUCGGGAGUGAAAAUGUUCGAUGCGCCCAAAUUCUAUUCCAAGUGCAAAUCGCGGUUGAAGUUAACAAACGCAAGAAAAGGAGCGCGGUGCUGAGAUUUCUCAAGAAAGACAUGGCCGACCUUCUUGGGAGUUCCCUUGAUUACAAUGCAUAUGGAAGGUUUUUAUUGGUGGCACAAACAGAUAACAUUGAGACAUCAGCAUGCCUCAUAAAUCCUCAGCAAGUGAAGUAUGGUUGCUUUUAAACAUUUUAAAUGAGUGGAGGGGGUCUACAUUGAUGUUGACUGACUUUUAUUGUAUAUGUUGUCGUUUUCUCCUCAAUGGAAAAGGAGUACUCAAUAGGACUAAUGUUCAAAUGGAUCCUGGACCACAGGUGCCAACUAAUGUGACUGGUAUGCUUAAAUUUGGGACAAAUCUUCUUCAAGCUGUGGGCCAGUUCAAUGGUCGUUAUGUUGUACUAGUUGCCUAUGAGUUUUACACCUUUGCUUGAGGAUCCAGUUCUUCAAGAUUAUCUUCAGCCUGCUGUUACAUCUGUUGAUUCAGAUUUAGAUAUUAUCGAGGGGGCUUCACAGAUUUCACUUAAUUGUCCAAUAAGGUAAAACCCUUGCUCUAAAAUCUUCCCAUGAUUCUGAUUCCUUGUCUUCUGGGAUUGCCAAAUCUGAUAAAGUACUUAUUCCUCAAGAUCAAGAUAACUCUGCAUCCUUGACAGAUCAACUUGAAACUCCUGAUAUAACCUCAUAGGAUACACAGAUCCGCAUGGAUACUCCCUCUGGAAUCAAGGACUCAAUUCCUGCUUGGAUUAAGUUUUCUGUACAGGCUCCUGGUGAAAUUCCAUACAGGGGAAUAUACUAUGAUCCCCUAGAAGAGGUAAGAUUGUAGACUUCUUACAUGUAGGAUACACUUAGAAAAAGAGAUGACAAAUCUAAAUAUCUCUUUUUCCAUUAUGGGAUAGAAUUGUAUCUAUGGCCUCUCUUUGUAGUACUCAUCAUGGUUUCAACAGAACUUUUAAUGCUGAUAUGCAAUGAUGUUGAAAGUUUUGUAGUUUUUUUUAAGCCAUUGCCAAACUCUGGCUUUUUUCUUAUAUUAGGAAGAAAUAUCCCCCACUCUUUUGCCCAAAGGGAUAAUGUUA